AGGUGUCCACUUUUUGGGCCUUGACUUAGGUUUCUAUAAAACAGAGUUUUUCCUAGUCCUGUCUUCUCUCAUCAGGGAUUUACCCCACAGACCAUGACACUAUGAUAUCAGUAUCUUCCGUAUCCUUGCAGGUCUUUCUAGGUACAUGAAAUGAGCCACAAUAACCUGAUUCAUAUCAUGGUCUUGAUACUUAGCAUAGCUUUACAUUCAAUGCCUCCCAUAAAAUCUCUUUGUAUUUUAAGAGGAGCCAUUAUUAAUAACUCAAAAGAAUGAGUUAUGAAAGCACAGCAUUAUCUAAAAUUAAUACACUAUAAAUGAAGGAUGUGUUACAAAUGUAGACUUUUCCUCUUUCUAUAAUUUCUCUCGUCCUAAUCUGGAGGCUCUAUCCUCACUUAUAGCAGCUGGUAAGAAAUCUUGGAAUUUUCCUGUAUAAGGUAAUUUUAUUUUUUCUGGUAAAUAGCAUUUCAUAUCUCACAAUCUAAGUUUUAACUUCUUACCUAUAGUGUUUCUUUCCUCCAAACUGUCUGUCUUCCUUAUCUUUCCCUAUAGAUGUGAGUGCACAUGGAAAUUUAUGGAGUCUCUCAGCAUUGUAGAAGAGCCUCUGUUUCUUCUCACUGGUUCCUGUCCUCCUCAGCUUGGUAUAUAACUCCUGAGGGCUGAAUACCUGGUUGCUGAAGGAUCCAGUCCCUGCCCUAUAACCGAGGAAGAAUUUCUACUUCCCCUUCCUGUCCAGAAGUGAUAUUCCCAGAUGAAGUGAGAAAUUAUAUGCUCUCUGGGAAAUGGCUAUCUGCAAAGACUUGUGGCAUUCUACUUUCUGGAUAUAUUGCCUUAUGUCUGGCAAACUGUACUGAUUAAAACUUUGAACAGAAGAAGGAAAAACUAAUUUGGAAGGGCUAAUCAAGACUCUCCAUAGUCCAAAAGGGAUGAUUUCUCAGUUGUGCAGAGAACCAAUAAACCUCCAUCCUGAGGACAAAAGUAAUUUUGUGAAACUGCAUGAAGUUUCUCUAGAGAGAGAGACUUCACAAAGCCCAGUGGUCACAGCUGUGCAGUGGAACCGAACUACUUUGAAUCUCUGCCAUCAAAGGAAAGAAUCUCAGGAUUUUCUGCUACAGAAGCAUGAUCGUGUUUAAAUUCUUAAAAUGCUGCAUUAGCAAGAAUUCUCCACAGAAACAGACUCUCUCUCUAGAGUUGAGAGAGAGAGAGAGUUAAUAUAGGAAUUGGCUCAUGGGACAAUGGAGGCCAAGAAGUUCCAGAAUCUGAUGUCUGCAAGCCAGCAAACAAAGCCAAUAAUGUAAUUUAGUCUGAGUUCAAAGGCCCAAGAAUGGAGGUACUGAUGGUAUAAUUCCUGAUCUGAGUCUAAAGGCCCAAGAACCAGGAACACUCAUGUUAACAGAAAAUGAAUAGGCCAGGUGCAGUGGCUCACACCUGUAAUCCCAGCACUUUGGGUGGCUGAGGCCGGCAGAUCCAUCGAGGUCAGGAGUUUGAGACCAGCCUGACCAACAUGGUGAAACCCUGUCUCUACUAAAAAUACAAAAAUUAGC
ensembl:lncRNA novel transcript